rnacentral:lncRNA from 1 species
UAUUUUCCAAUUUCAUACCAAUUUUUUAUUCCCAAUUUAUUUCGACUUCAAGUGGUCAUCUUUUGAGUUUAAUUUCUCAUUCACCCUUAAUUAGUUUUGAAAAAUAAAUACAUAUAUCAAUUCUACAUGAAGUAGAAUACACUUGCCAAAUAAAUCAUUUAUCCAUGUGACAGGACCUACUUAAAUAAUUGGUCAUCAAACCAACUAAUUAUUCCAAUUUUCCAACAAAUUGUCUUCUCUUCUUCGGCUCAAUCUGCAAAGUCAGCUACAUGUGACCAAAGAAAAAAUGGGAGACAAGCAGCACCUUUGAUUUUUUGUGUCGACCACGAAGAAAAAUGGAAGAUAGUGCACCCUUGAGUUUCAGCAUCGUGUGCAGGGAUUGGGCCUUGAGAUCUCCGCCACCGCUGCCAACAAUCAAAACCCAAUAUCCAACACUGAGCGCCUUGAGAUCCUCAAUGGCGUUGCUACUUCGUCGACUGAUAUUCAUUUUAUUGCUAAGCAUUUUGUCUGCAUCUUACAAUGUAACGUACAACAACGGCUUUCUCAUUAUCGACGGUCAAUGGAAGCUUCUCAUCUUUGUCGCCAUCUACUCCCCUCGCGAGGUGCAACAUCCCUGCUUCAUCGAUUGAUUCGCACCGCGUGGCAAUUGCGACUGGAACAGAUGCCGUCUGCUAUAAUGUGUAAGAGAGAGAUGGGUAUAAACUAUAAAGAGAUAUAGAGAGAGAAACAAGAGGGAAAACUAAUGAGUUUGGGAUGAAAUUCGUAUAUUUAAUAUUUAAAUAUAAA